AGUGUUUUCGUUUUCUGUGGACUUUCAGUACAUUCAGGAACUAGUUUAUAACCAUAAACAUUCUGAGCCAAUUGUCCAACAAUCGGAGGAGCAAAAGACGACAACAGAAAUGCCAAGCCAUGGACGACCAAUGGCAAUGUAGUAAAUAUGCUCAUCUUCAAGGGUAAUAUAUAUUUGUUAUACUUGACUGAUUUUUCAUUCUCAUUAAGGGAGAAUGAGAUAACACAGCAAAGUAGGCAAAGUGAUCUUCUUCAUUAUGCUCAAGUUGGGUGAUUGCUGAUAUUUACUAUCAAGACGAGCUUUGGAAGCCUGCCCUUAGCUACAUUAGGAUAAUUUUUUUGAAAAUUAGAAGGAUAUGGCGAGGUGUUUGACAAAAAUUCAAAAGAGAAAAGACAGAUUCGGUCAUCAGCAAUCUUAGUGUUUGGUCAUCAAGGUUUUGAGUAAAGAGCUGAAAUAUGAUUCUAAGAAAAGAUUACUUGAUUGGGGUAGUGGGAUGUUUAAUUACGGACAAGAGAAGAGGAUUAUGCUACUAUGCUUGAAUGAAGGUACUUUAAAAUAACACGGAAUAGUCAAGAAAGAUCAACCGCUUUCUCUAAUAUGGAAAACAAUUGAAUUUCAAGUUUAUUCUGGCAGCACUUCAACCAAUGAAAAAAGUACUUAAAUCAAGGUAAGCUAAGAAGAGAAAUGAGCAUGAAAAUGGACAAUGGGGAACACAGAAGAUUAAAGGCAAAAAGAAGCAUAGAAGAAAGAGGAAGAAAAGAAGAUCAAGGCAUUGUCGUAUCCUCUCCGCGUCGCGAAGAGGGGGUCUUAAAUUAACUCACGAGAGUCAGCAGUAGGCAGAGCCCUCUGUGUAUUCUCCGCGUCGCGGAGAAGGGUUGUUAUUUUAUUCGCGAAAGUUGAGUUAGAGGCAGAGCACUCCGUGGAGUGUCCGCGUCGCAGAGAAGGCUAUUGUGCAUGGAAUCAAAUAUUUAAAGCCUCUCCGUGUCGCGCCCUAUGCUCCAGUUUUUGGUCGUUUCGACU